AAUUUUGGACAAUGGGGGAAACCCUGAUCCAGCCAUCCCGCGUGUUUGAUGAAGGCCUNCGGGAUNUNAAGUACUUUUGGCAGAGNCGAAAAGGUAUCCCCUAAUACGGGAUACUGCUGACGGUAUCUGCAGAAUAAGAACCGGCCAACUACGUGCCAGCAGCCGCGGUAAUACGUAGGGUGAAAGCGUUAAUCGGGAUUACUGGGCGUAAAGCGUGUGUAGGCGGUUCGGAAAGAACGCUGUGAAAACCCAGGGCUGCACCUUGGAACUGCUUUUUUAACUGCCGAGCUAGAGUAUGUCAGAGGGGGGUAGAAUUCCACGUGUAGCAGUGAAAUGCGUAGAUAUGUGGAGGAAUACCGAUGGCGAAGGCAGCCCCCUGGGAUAAUACUGACGCUCAGACACGAAAGCGUGGGGAGCAAACAGG
rnacentral:rRNA from 1 species